rnacentral:piRNA from 1 species
CACAAAUGCAGAGCAUGAAUUCCCAUAGA